UUGGAGGGCAAGUCUGGUGCCAGCAGCCGCGGUAAUUCCAGCUCCAAUAGCGUAUAUUAAAGUUGUUGCAGUCAAAAAGCUCGUAGUUGAAUUUCGGGGUUCUACCGUUGGUCGGGCUUUGUCUGUACUGGCGUGUAGAAUUUCUACCUUCUGGGGAACCAUUAUGUUAUUAAUUUAACGUGGUGGGAAACCAGGACCUUUACCUUGAAAAAAUUAGAGUGUUCAAAGCAGGCUUAUGUCUGAAUACAUUAGCAUGGAAUAAUAGAAUAGGACGGUGGUCCUGUUUUGUUGGUUUCUGAAUCACCGUAAUGAUUAAUAGGGAUAGUUGGGGGCAUUAGUAUUCAAUUGUCAGAGGUGAAAUUCUUGGAUUUAUUGAAGACUAACUUCUGCGAAAGCAUUUGCCAAGGAUGUUUUCAUUAAUCAAGAACGAAAGUUAGGGGAUCGAAGACGAUCAGAUACCGUCGUAGUCUUAACCAUAAACUAUGCCGACUAGGGAUCGGACGAUGUUAACUUUCCUUGACUCGUUCGGCGCCUUACGGGAAAC
rnacentral:rRNA from 1 species